AACGCACAUUGCACCUUUUGGUAUUCCAUGAGGUAUACAUGUUCGAGCGUCGUUUAAAUCUGAGACUUACGUCUUUUGUUGACGUCCUCCGACGGAAGUUGGAACGUUAAAAUGCAUUGGCGCACGUGUUCUGUAGCGAACCCAAUAAACUGGGAAUGCACGGAAGUUCGGGCCGUCUUAACCCUAAAACUUUAAUUUAACCUUCGACCUCGAAUCAUGUAGGAUUACCCGCUGAACUUAA
rnacentral:misc_RNA from 1 species